UGAGGGAAAGUUGCAAAGAACUUUGAAGAGAGAGUUCAAGAGUACGUGAAACUGUUCAGAGGCAAACGGGUGGGCCCUCGAAAUCCAUCUGCGGAGGGAUUCAGUCGGAAGGUUUCGCGACGGAGGCGAGGUCGCUUCUCGGACCCCUGACAGGGCCGGAGGCGACUCUCGCGGUCUCCGUUCCGUCCGACGCACUUCCCCCCGCACCUCGGACGCCGCUACCGGUCGGGUAGCUGCCAGAGUCGGCCUUGAGGACGAGCAGCGGCAGGUGACCGGGGAAAGGAAACUCGUUUUCCUCCUCCGGUUGUUAGCCAGCCCGUUUCCGUGGCGCGACACCCGACCGAGGUCACGGUCUCCCUCGCGGGAGACUCGCCGUCCCCUGCCUCCAGGCAGCGGGUCUCUUCCGCAGUCGUGCUCCGGAUCGACGUGCGCACUCGCGUAGUGGCACGACGGUUCCGGGUGCCCCCGUUGGCGGAGGAGGUCCCGCGGAGGGGUGGUUCUGACGGUGAGCGGCGAGUAGGUCGGUCACCCACCCGACCCGUCUUGAAACACGGACCAAGGAGUCUAACAUGUGCGCGAGUCGCAGGGUCUUGAACAGGCCCGUGGGCGCAAUGAAAGUGAAGACCUUCAAGGGUCGAGUCGGGACUCCUUUCGAGGAAGCACCGACGACCCGUCCCGUCCGACACGUCGGAUGGGCGGAGUGCGAGCGCACACGUUGGGACCCGAAAGAUGGCGAACUAUGCCUGGGCAGAACGAAGCCAGAGGAAACUCUGGUGGAGGUUCGUAGCGGUUCUGACGUGCAAAUCGAUCGUCAGACCUGGG
rnacentral:rRNA from 1 species